rnacentral:rRNA from 1 species
GGCUGAGAUACGGCCCAGACUCCUACGGGAGGCAGCAGUGGGGAAUAUUGCACAAUGGGCGCAAGCCUGAUGCAGCGACGCCGCGUGGGGGAUGACGGCCUUCGGGUUGUAAACCUCUUUCACCAUCGGCGAAGCCAGAUGCUUUUGUGUCCGGUGACGGUAGGUGGAGAAGAAGCACCGGCCAACUACGUGCCAGCAGCCGCGGUAAUACGUAGGGUGCGAGCGUUGUCCGGAAUUACUGGGCGUAAAGAGCUCGUAGGUGGUUUGUCGCGUUGUCCGUGAAAUUCCCUGGCUUAACUGGGGGCGUGCGGGCGAUACGGGCAGACUGGAGUACUGCAGGGGAGGCUGGAAUUCCUGGUGUAGCGGUGGAAUGCGCAGAUAUCAGGAGGAACACCGGUGGCGAAGGCGGGUCUCUGGGCAGUAACUGACGCUGAGGAGCGAAAGCGUGGGGAGCGAACAGGAUUAGAUACCCUGGUAGUCCACGCCGUAAACGGUGGGUACUAGGUGUGGGUUUCCUUCCUUGGGAUCCGUGCCGUAGCUAACGCAUUAAGUACCCCGCCUGGGGAGUACGG